AUGAUGUUUCGGUCGGGCAUGCGUCUUCGUCGCCAUCCACAGACUUUCGAAGGCGUUCCCUAUAUUGAUCCAGUCUCGCACAUGCGCCAUCGCUCGGUGCUUGGUGCAUGUCCGUCUGCGAUGUUGUCCCCUUCAGAGUCUUCAACAUGCUGUGUUGGUCGCUAUACGUCGACUCCUCUUGCGGCUUCCGUGCACGGCAGUGGACGCUCUACGUCGACUCUUCCCACGACUUCCGCACCUGGUGAUUGUCGCUCUACGUCGACUCCUCUCGCGGCUUCCGCGUUUGGUAGUGACCGCUCUAUGUCGACACCCUCAGUGGCUUUCUCAUGUGGCUCUACGUCGACUCGGUACUCCCGGUCGACUCUGCACGCAGCUUCCACGGGUGGAGGCGAUUGCUCAUCAUCGGCAAGUGUUUUUACCUCGACCUUUUCGGCCGUGUCCCUGUCUGCACAUGAGAUUGCACAGCCGAAAUGCAUGCUUGAUGCUUGGGAUUCUUCACCGACGGUUUCUACAGGUUCUGUGGCUAACUCUUCUGGCACUGAGAAACCACCUUCCACUCAUUCAGGUACAUCCCCAUGGAUUCUUGAUACUGGAGCGUCUUUUCAUAUGACUUAUGAUUCCUCCACGUUGACCUCUUUUCAACCUGUGGAGUCUCAUGUUCGUGUUCUUACAGCUGAUGGCACUCCCCUCCCUGUAGCUAGUCGAGGCACUCUUAGCACUUCUUCAUUUCAUGUUCCCUCUGUCGCUCAUGUUCCUCGACUUACCAUGCAGCUCAUAUCUGGUGGUCAGAUUGUUGACUCUAGUUGUAGGGUCAUUCUCGACUUUGAUUCAUGUUCUAUUCAGGAUCAUCGCACGGGCGCUCUGCUUAGUGCUGGCCCUCGAUGCUCUGAUGGUCUCUGGGAGCUUGACUGGCUUCGUCUUCCCCCCGUUGCGACCACCGCCAGUCUCGCACCCCCUGUAGCUGCAUCUACCAGCUCUUUUCAGCAGUGGCAUCAUCGUCUUGGCCAUUUAUGCGGUUCUCGUCUCUCAUCUUUGGUUCAUCGCGGUGUUCUGGGGUCUGUCUCUGGUAACGCUUCGUUGGAUUGUCUGGGUUGUCGGCUUGGUAAGCAUAUUCAGCUACCCUACCCUCACAGUGAGUCGGUGUCCGAGCGUCCUUUUGAUCUCAUUCACUCUGAUGUUUGGGGUCCGGCUCCCUUCGCUUUGAAAGGGGGUCAUCGCUACUAUAUUAUCUUUAUAGAUGAUUUUUCUCGAUACACUUGGAUCUAUUUCAUGUCUUCUCGUAGUGAGGUCUUACCUACUUACUUACUUACUUACAAAGCCUUUUAUCCCAAACAAGUUGGGGUAGGCUAG
rnacentral:rRNA from 1 species